rnacentral:tRNA from 2 species
GCCCUAGUAGCUUAGCACCCAAAGCGCCGGUCUUGUAAU